GGGGGGGGGGGGUGAAGUAAUGGCCACGCGAUAAGCCACAAUAGGACGCUGUUUGGUUUGUUUGUUUGUUUGUCUCUACGUCUUCUUUCUUCCUUUACCCUCACAUUGCUUGUUCGUGCUCCAUUUAGUACGCGGUGUAUAAUAUUUGUUCGUGUUCCAUUUACUACGUGGUGUAUAUAUUUCUUCGUGUUUCAUUUAGUACGCGGUUUAUAUUUCAUCGUGUGUUCCAUUUAGUACGCGGUCCAGGUUUAUUUGAGUUCCAUUUAGUACGCGGUCUAAGUUUCUGUGCGUUCCAUUUAGUACGCGGUCUAUAUUUCUUCGUGUUCCAUUUAGUACGCGGUUUGUGUUUCUUCGCGUGUUCCAUUUAGUACGCGGCCUUUAUCUUUCUUCGUGUUUCAUUUAGUACGCGGUUUAAGUUUAUUUGUGCGUUCCAUUUAGUACGCGGUCUUUAUCUUUCUCCUUGUCCCAUUUAGUCCGUGGUCCAUGUUCCUUCAUGUGUUCCAAUUAGUACGCGGUUUAGGUUUCUUCGUGGUCCAUUUAGUACGCGGUGUCUCAUUAGCAUCUUCUCUAUGUCUUUAUUUGAUGCCGCCGCCACAGCAUCCGCCCUCACCACAGAGACGCCGCCCUGUAUGUGGUUACGCUCCGCUUAACACCAGAGAAGAAAAAAAAAGACGCAAAAAACUUAAUGAAUGGCCGCUAACAUAAGGUAAGGCGCAGAUAUUAGUACCCGAUCCCUUUAUGAUAUGGCCGCUAACACAAGGCAAGGCGCAGAUAUUAGUACCCGAUCCCUUUAUGCUAUGGCCGCUAACACAAGGCAAGGCGUAGAUAUAAGUACCCGAUCCCUUUAUGAUAUGGCCGCUAACAUAAGGUAAGGCGCAGAUAUUAGUACGCGAUCCCUUUAUGAUAUGGCCGCUAACACAAGGUAAGGCACAGAUAUUAGUACCCGAUCCCUUUAUGAUAUGGCCGCUAACACAAGGUAAGGCGCAGAUAUUAGUACCCGAUCCCUUUAUGAUAUGGCCGCUAACACAAGAUAAGGCGUAGAUAUUAGUACCCGAUCCCUUUAUGAUGUGGCCGCUAACACAAGGUAAGGCGCAGAUAUCAGUACCCGAUCCCUUUAUGAUAUGGCCGCUAACACAAGAUAAGGCGUAGAUAUUAGUACCCGAUCCCUUUAUGAUAUGGCCGCUAACACAAGAUAAGGCGUAGAUAUUAGUACCCGAUCCCUUUAUGAUAUGGCCGCUAACACAAGGUAAGGCGCAGAUAUCAGUACCCGAUCCCUUUAUGAUAUGGCCGCUAACACAAGGUAAGGCGCAGAUAUCAGUACCCGAUCCCUUUAUGAUAUGGCCGCUAACACAAGGUAAGGCGCAGAUAUUAGUACCCGAUCCCUUUAUGAUAUGGCCGCUAACACAAGGCAAGGCGCAGAUAUUAGUACCCGAUCCCUUUAUGAUAUGGCCGCUAACAUAAGGUAAGGCGCAGAUAUUAGUACCCGAUCCCUUUAUGAUAUGGCCGCUAACAUAAGGUAAGGGGCAGAUAUUAGUACCCGAUCCCUUUAUGAUAUGGCCGCUAACAUAAGGUAAGGGGCAGAUAUUAGUACCCGAUCCCUUUAUGAUAUGGCCGCUAACACAAGGUAAGGCGCAGAUAUUAGUACCCGAUCCCUUUAUGAUAUGGCCGCUAACAUAAGGUAAGGCGCAGAUAUUAGUACCCGAUCCCUUUAUGAUAUGGCCGCUAACAUAAGGUAAGGCGCAGAUAUUAGUACCCGAUCCCUUUAUGAUAUGGCCGCUAACACAAGGUAAGGCGCAGAUAUCAGUACCCGAUCCCUUUAUGAUAUGGUCGCUAACACAAGGCAAGGCGCAGAUAUCAGUACCCGAUCCCUUUAUGAUAUGGCCGCUAACACAAGGCAAGGCGCAGAUAUUAGUACCCGAUCCCUUUAUGAUAUGGCCGCUAACACAAGGUAAGCCACACCGAUUAUGUAGUACGCGAUCCCUUUACUUGUUUCUCGAUUAGGUUCCUGUACAUGCUCGUCUAUCCUUCCUUUCUUUCUCUCUUUACUUCCUUCCCUUCUUCUUCAUUGUAUUCCUUUAUGCAUUAGCUAUCUUUUCUUAAUUCAUUUUAAUUGCUAUAUCUUAUCUUAUCCUAUAUCUUUCUUCACUUCCGUUCUUUUAUUCUCUCUCUCUCUCUCUCUCUCUCUCUCUCUCUCUCUCUCGUCCCUCCUUCAUUCCUUUCCUCUCUCCCUCCCCUUAAUUCUUACCUCCGUCCAUUAUUUUUCUCUCCAGCAUACUUACAUUACCUCCUCUAAUUAUAUUCUCUCUCUCUCUCUCUCUCUCUCUCUCUCUCUCUGCACCUCAUGAAUGGCCCGUAACACCUGGCGUGCACACUCAAGGUUGAUUGCACCAGCUCACACACAGGCUUAUGAAUGGACCCGGAGAAAACGCGCUAUGCUGUAUGAAUGGAGCCAACAACACGCUGAAACUGGCUCGGCGAUACCAGUACUAGCUCGUAAGGAUCAGGGUUGGUAAGGGUCUACUGCGGUGAUUGGUAACACGUAGCUCCUUCCUAACACUACCGCAUCCACUUGGCAUGUUGUGAACACCUUCAUAUAAAGAGCAUGAAGAUCUUACUGGCGCGUGCAGCCUAUUACAAAUUAGUGGUAAGACUAUAGACACCACAUGGAGCGUGUGUGUGUGUGUGUGUGUGUGUGUGUGUGUGUGUGUGUGCCACAUCAAUUAGUAUACGAGAUUCCUUACUGACUUCUCGAUUAGGUUCCUGUACACGCUCGUCUAUCCUCUCCGUGUGUGUGUGUCAGCAGCGGGUCGACGGCAUUCUGAGGGUGUCUUUGGCCUCAGCCCCGCGUCCCGGUGUUCGCUGUUCGUGGUAAUUAUGUCUCGGCGACCAAUGGCGGACGAGCGGGGCUGGGCACUUGAGUGUGCCUUGUUGCAUCGCCGAGGGCACCGUGUGCUGUGCUUUUUACGUGUUAUCGCGGUGUGGCCGUGGCGGCGGCAGAUAACCAGGCUCUGGCAGACCGGUGUGGGAGGCGCGGCUCUGCGUCACCGGCAGCCAGCCUCCACAGCGCGUGCUGUCCCGAGGGGCGGCGUGUUGGGUGCAGCCAUCUAACGCCUCGUAAGGCCAAGAGGUCACCUCAUGCACAGAGGGACGGUGGCGGGGCGGGGAUACUCUAAAAGAAAAGACAAGACGUGUUGGCCGAGGGACACGUGACGGAGUAGCCAGGCCGAGGCACACCGACGAUCAGGUUAAGGGUUAAUGUCUUAAGGUAAAGAACAAAAAUAAGUGAGUGGGGCGUGACGCGCCGCAGU